AUCAGCGCAGAGACAGUAGCCUUCCAAGGCACAGCACAUGGAACCACCGUUGGCAAAACAUUCAGUCUAAAACAAAACGUAACACAUUAUAAAUAAUAUCAAUGCAGUAUGAAGAAUUAGCCAUCCAUUGUGUUAUAUCAUAAAUUGUCUUACAUGCUGUCACU
rnacentral:lncRNA from 1 species